UAAACUAACAAGUAGAAUACUAAGUAUUUUCAACUACUUAUGUGUGUAGUGUCAUGGACGAGCUGCAGUGCUUGGCGCCUCAGUUAUGCAUCCGUUGCAAGUCAUGUUGUCAUAUUGUUACUAAUGCCAACGCUUGCACAUGUCUUAAUGAGAAGGAUUGUCCACAUAACAAAAAGAAACUAAAAAAAAAGUUAGUACACGUAUAAAUUGUGUAUUACAUCAGUCAUAUUCUAUGUACGACAAUUAUUGAUGAUCAAGUUUACACAAAAAGGAAUAUUGAAUCUGAUGACGAGUCUAGUGAUGAUAUUUCUAGUUCUUCAAGCAGUACAUCAAGUAGCUCGUUAGAAUCUUCAUAGUAAAUUACUGGUAAAUACAAUUAAUUUAGGAAUACAUUUUUUUAUGACUUAUAAAUAACAUAUAAUACAUUUAAGUUGUACAUUGUUGUUAACUGGAAUUUUCGUUUAUAGAAGAUUUAGAACUACUGCUGCUGCUGCUGCUGCUGCUACUACUACUGUCGGAACUGCUACUCGAACUACUGCCACUGCUACUGCUACUAUUACUGCUAGUACUAGAGCUACCACUGCUAUCACUGCUGUCAGAAUCUGACGAAGAAGAUGAACUGCUAUCAUCUGUUUUCUUCUUUCGUUUGGGGUUUUUAGAUUUGUCUUUAGUAACUCUAAACAAAAUGUAGUAAAAAAUCAACACUAUACAAAUAAAAUUUAAUAUAAUAAUAAUUAAAAAAAAAUUUAUUGAUUACAAAUAUCAUGAUAGGUUUAAAAUAAAUUUACAAAUAAUCGUUUGUACUAUCGAUCUAGUACAAAAUAUAUACAUAUAUACUAUAAAAUACUUGAAACUCACUUAGAUAAGAUUUUAUCUGCUGGUCUGUCCUUGUUUAAAUUUCUUUUCAAUAAAGUCGUACGAGUUGGGCGAUCAACAAGUUUUCUUUUCCCUUUACAUUCAUAAGUCCAGUGGCCUAAUUCAAGACAUUUUUGACAGCGUACACCUUGUGGUGGCACAUAGGUCCUAUAAUAAAGUUUUUCUGAGGGUAAUUAAUAUGCUUAAAUUAAAUAAUUUGCAUUAUCCUAGAUACAAACUCACGGUUUCUUUUUAUUUAAAAUAGGCAUUAUGGACUCGGAUGGUAAUUUGUACUACGCAACACCUAUAGAUAGCAAACAAAAUUUACAGAAAUAAAUUUGUAAAAAUAUAAAGAAUCAAUUAUAAAAUGUAAUUAAUAAAAUAAUAGUCUUUUAA